GCCUUGGUGUCCUAGUGGUUACAGAGUUCGCCUCUGAUACAAAAUGUCGCGGGUUCGAACCCCGGAUGAGUCA